rnacentral:rRNA from 1 species
UACGGGGGGAGCGAGCGUUGUCCGGAAUUACUGGGCGUAAAGAGCUCGUAGGUGGUUUGUCGCGUUGUUCGUGAAAACUCACAGCUUAACUGUGGGCGUGCGGGCGAUACGGGCAGACUGGAGUACUGCAGGGGAGACUGGAAUUCCUGGUGUAGCGGUGGAAUGCGCAGAUAUCAGGAGGAACACCGGUGGCGAAGGCGGGUCUCUGGGCAGUAACUGACGCUGAGGAGCGAAAGUGUGGGGAGCGACCAGG